GGGCAGCAGCAAGGAAUUUUGUGCAAUGGGCGAAAGCCUGACACAGCGACGCCGCGUGGGGGAUGAAGGCUUUCGGGUUGUAAACCCCUUUUCUCAGGGAUGAAUAAUGACAGUACCUGAGGAAUAAGCCAUGGCUAACUACGUGCCAGCAGCAGCGGUAAAACGUAGGUGGCAAGCGUUAUCCGGAUUUAUUGGGCGUAAAGAGGGCGCAGGCGGCUUUUCAAGUCGGAUGUAAAAUCUCUCAGCUUAACUGGGAGGGAUCAUUCGAAACUGCUGGGCUAGAGCGCAACAGGGGGAGGUAGAAUUCCCGGUGUAGUGGUGAAAUGCGUAGAUAUCGGGAGGAAUACCAGUGGCGAAGGCGGCCUCCUGGGUUGUUGCUGACGCUUAUGCCCGAAGGUGUGGGGAGCAAACAGGAUUAGAUACCCUGGUANUC
rnacentral:rRNA from 1 species